CCGUCCUCUAUCCGGAAAAUAAGAUAUGUAAAUUAAAUAUAAAUAAAUAUAAAGAUAUAAUACAGAAAUAAUUUAAAUAUGUCAAAAGAAGGGAAACAAUACUCAUCCAAAUCCAAUUUUGACUUGUGUUAAUGUUUGAAGGAGUUUGUUACUGUGUUCAAACACUUUGCCUCAGGAAAGCACACAAAAUGCACCGCAGCGAAACAAAGGGGGACGUUAAUAUGCAUAGCAGAAAGGGCUUAUUAUUACAAUACUGGUCAAUCAAGAAAGCCAUCUUGUUACUGUCCCAUUCAGUCCUACGUAUACUCUGGAUUACAUGGGUUUUGGACCACAGCAUUUUGCCUGGGACAAAUAAAACCCCCAUGUCUUUUUUUAUGUCAACCAAAAAUGUUGCUUUUAAAAGAAGCACAGCAACUGUGACUGCUUUUGCUCUGGGUCAAUUUGGAUGGCUAUGCACAGGGGGAAAAACAGCAGGACUUACUAACAUGAAGAGAAAAGCAUGACAGCUUUAAGAAGGGAAUGCUAAAAAAAAAAAACGACAGAAAAGCUACUAAAAUAUAUCUAUCACAACCAUCAGGGAGCAGUCGUCUUUCACCUUAGUGAAACGUAACAAGUGCAUGAGCGAAUGCAGCCUUACGCCCGACUCCCCAUGCCCAGCCCUCUCCUUUCACAGACAAGCAGGCAGCCAUAUUCACUGUAAAUAGCAGUAAGGGCCAUAUCUCAUUCUGUACAACAUGUAAAUGUCAUUCUAAACACUAUCACAGGCAUGGGACGCCAUAGUGUGCAGUGGAAGCCACGCUGGCGGAAAUGUGCUUUUGUGUAAAAAAAUUAAAAAUCAUUUAUAUAUAGAUACAAAAAAAGAGCAGUUAUUGAUUUUCUUUUUUUAAAGCAUUGUGUAUGUGGCUGGCUCGUGCAGACUGUUUAAAAACAAAAAGUUGUAUUCGGAAAAGAUAAUGGUCUGUGUUGAGUUUCUAUACAUGUUGUGUUUGUAAAAAUGAGAAGAAAAAAAAACUUCCUCAAAAGGGAGAUCCUGGCUUCCAUGUAAUUUCGGGUGGAGGGGUUGAAAAAAAGCAAAACAUAAAAAUAAAGGCAUAGACCCUAAAUUAAUAAGAUGUUACAUUCACUGUUGUAAGUGCAAUGAGCUAUACUUCAUGUAUCCAUUGUAAAACCUUGUGUAUGUUUCAGUGUAUUCCUGUAACAGUGGUAGUAGACUUGGUGCAUCAUGCCAUGUAAUGUGAUGAAUGAAAUAAUGACAUACAAUACAUUUCAAUCAGGAACAUAAUAAAAGAGAAACAAAAG
ensembl:lncRNA